rfam:Thiomicrospira crunogena XCL-2, complete genome.
CAAGAAGGUUGGGCAGUCGCGAGAUUUUUUCUCGAGGAAAGUCCGGGCACUAUAGAGCAGAAUGCCAGCUAACGGCUGGGCGGUGAAAGCCGACGGAAAGUGCAGCAGAGAGUAGACCGCCAAUUUGAUUGGUAAGGGUGAAAGGGUGCGGUAAGAGCGCACCGCGCAACGGGUAACCGUUUGUGGCAAGGUAAACCCCAUUCAGUGCAAGACCAAAUAGGGAAACGCGUUCAAGCUUUGCUUGGGCAAGGUGCGGCUCGUACCUGGUUUCCGGGUAGGUUGCUUGAGGGAAGUAGUGAUGCUUCUCCUAGAUGAAUGAUUGUCACCAGCAAUGGUACAGAACCCGGCUUAUAGAUCUUCUUGCAUU